GACGAAGGAUUCAAGCGUUGUCCGGAUUUACUGGGCGUAAAGCGUGCGCAGGCGGUUGUGUAAGACAGAUGUGAAAUCCCCGGGCUCAACCUGGGAACUGCAUUUGUGACUGCACAGCUGGAGUGCGGCAGAGGGGGAUGGAAUUCCACGUGUAGCAGUGAAAUGCGUAGAUAUGCGGAGGAACACCGAUGGCGAAGGCAAUCCCCUGGGCCUGCACUGACGCUCAUGCACGAAAGCGUGGGGAGCAAACAGG
rnacentral:rRNA from 1 species